GACGAACGCUGGCGGCGUGCUUAACACAUGCAAGUCGAACGGAAAGGCCUGCUUUCCCUUGUGGAUUGCGGGUACUCGAGUGGCGAACGGGUGAGUAACACGUGAGUGAUCUGCCCCCAACUUGGGUAUAAGCCUGGGAAACUGGGUCUAAUUCCCGAUAGGACUGCAGGGUGGUGCCUGUGGUGGAAAACGAUUUUCUAGUGGUUGGGGAUGAGCUCGCGGCCUAUCAGCUUGUUGGUGGGGUAAUGGCCUACCAAGGCGGCGACGGGUAGCCGGCCUGGGAGGGUGGACGGCCACAUUGGGACUGAGAUACGGCCCAGACUCCUACGGGAGGCAGCAGUGGGGAAUAUUGCACGAUGGGCGGAAGCCUGAUGCAGCGACGCCGCGUGGGGGAUGACGGCCUUCAGGUUGUAAACUCCUUUCGACCGCGAGGAAGCCACCUGGUUGGAAGGGUGGUGACGGUAGUGGUAGAAGAAGCACCGGCUAACUACGUG
rnacentral:rRNA from 1 species